rnacentral:rRNA from 1 species
GAUGAACGCUGGCGGCGUGCCUAAUACAUGCAAGUCGAGCGAACGGACGAGAAGCUUGCUUCUCUGAUGUUAGCGGCGGACGGGUGAGUAACACGUGGAUAACCUACCUAUAAGACUGGGAUAACUUCGGGAAACCGUAGCUAAUACCGGAUAAUAUUUUGAACCGCAUGGUUCAAAAGUGAAAGACGGUCUUGCUGUCACUUAUAGAUGGAUCCGCGCUGCAUUAGCUAGUUGGUAAGGUAACGGCUUACCAAGGCAACGGUGCAUAGCCGACCUGAGAGGGUGAUCGGCCACACUGGAACUGAGACACGGUCCAGACUCCUACGGGAGGCAGCAGUAGGGAAUCUUCCGCAAUGGGCGAAAGCCUGACGGAGCAACGCCGCGUGAGUGAUGAAGGUCUUCGGAUCGUAAAACUCUGUUAUUAGGGAAGAACAUAUGUGUAAGUAACUGUGCACAUCUUGACGGUACCUAAUCAGAAAGCCACGGCUAACUACGUG